rnacentral:tRNA from 1 species
GGGGUCGGUGGUGUAACGGGAACACAUCUGUUUUGCAAUCAGAAAUUAGGGUUCGAAUCCCUCCACUCUA